CGCAAACUCGCGAGAGUAAGCUAAUCUCUUAAAGCCGUUCUCAGUUCGGACUGUAGGCUGCAACUCGCCUACACGAAGUCGGAAUCGCUAGUAAUCGCGAAUCAGAAUGUCGCGGUGAAUACGUUCCCGGGUCUUGUACACACCGCCCGUCACACCACGAGAGUUUACAACACCCGAAGUCAGUGGCCUAACCGCAAGGAGGGAGCUGCCUAAGGUGGGGUAGAUGAUUGGGGUGAAGUCGUAACAAGGUAUC
rnacentral:rRNA from 1 species